rnacentral:rRNA from 1 species
CGAUCGGUGUAAGCCCUGGGGAGUUGGUGAGCGAGCUGUGAUCCGGGGGUGUCCGAAUGGGGAAACCUGGAAUGUCCGGAGUAGUGUCCGGUGGCCCUGCCCUGAAUGUAUAGGGGUGUGGGUGGUAACGCGGGGAAGUGAAACAUCUUAGUACCCGUAGGAAGAGAAAACAAGUGUGAUUCCGUGAGUAGUGGCGAGCGAAAGCGGAGGAGGCUAAACCGUGUGUGUGUUCAAGCCGGCAGGUGUUGCAUGUGCGGGGUUGUGGGGGCCUUGUGGUUCUGCUGCCGCAGGAUUGGCCAGUGAGAAAUGUUGCGUGAAGGUGAAGCGUCUGGGAAGGCGUACCGGAGUGGGUGAGAGUCCUGUAACUGUAAGCGUGGCACUGGUGUGGGGUUGCCCCGAGUAGCGUGGGACUCGUGGAAUUUCGCGUGAAUCUGGCGGGACCACCCGUCAAGCCUAAAUACUCCUUGGUGACCGAUAGUGGAUGAGUACCGUGAGGGAAGGGUGAAAAGUACCCCGGGAGGGGAGUGAAAGAGUUCCUGAAACCGGUCGCAUGCAAGCCGUCAGAGCCUGUGUGGUGAUGGCGUGCCUUUUGAAGAAUGAGCCUGCGAGUUAGUGAUGCGUGGCGAGGUUAACCCGUGGUGGGGGAGUCGUAGCGAAAGCGAGUCCGAUAAGGGCGUGAGUCGCGUGUUCUAGACCCGAAGCGGUGUGAUCUAUCCAUGGCCAGGAUGAAGCGUCGGUAAGACGUCGUGGAGGUCCGAACCCACUUCAGUUGAAAAUGGAGGGGAUGAGUUGUGGAUAGGGGUGAAAGGCCAAUCAAACACCGUGAUAGCUGGUUCUCCCCGAAAUGCAUUUAGGUGCAGCGUUGCGUGGUUCUUGUUGGAGGUAGAGCACUGGAUGGUCUAGGGGGCUUAUCGGCUUACCGAAAUCAGCCAAACUCCGAAUGCUGGCAAGUGUAGCGUGGCAGUGAGACGGCGGGGGAUAAGCUUCGUCGUCGAGAGGGAAACAGCCCAGAUCAUCAGCUAAGGCCCC